UCAGGCGAGCGUCGGUCGCUUCGCGGCGUCGUCGUUCAACUGGGCUCACGUUUUACUACAAACUAUUAAAGUAUCAGAAUGUCUACUGCGAAUUAACGCAUUUAAAUACAACUUUCAGCAACGGAUCUCUUGGCUCUCGCAUCGAUGAAGAACGCAGCGAAAUGCGAUAAGUAAUGUGAAUUGCAGAAUUCAGUGAAUCAUCGAAUCUUUGAACGCACCUUGCGCUCCUUGGUAUUCCGAGGAGCAUGCCUGUUUGAGUGUCAUGAAAUUCUCAACCUAACGAGUCUUUGCGGGCUCGGUAGGCUUGGACUUGGAGGUUCUUGUCGGCCUAACGGUCGGCUCCUCUUAAAUGCAUUAGCUCGGUUCCUUGCGGAUCGGCUCACGGUGUGAUAAUUGUCUACGCCGCGACCGUUGAAGCGUUUUGGCCGGCUUCUAAUCGUCUCGUUGGAGACACUACUCUUUAUGACCUUCUGACCUCAAAUCAGGUAGGACUACCCGCUGAACUUAAGCAUAUCAAUAAGCGGAGGAAAAGAAACUAACAAGGAUUCCCCUAGUAACUGCGAGUGAAGCGGGAAAAGCUCAAAUUUAAAAUCUGGCGGUCUUUGGCCGUCCGAGUUGUAGUCUGGAGAAGUGCUUUCCGCGCUGGACCGUGUAUAAGUCUCUUGGAACAGAGCGUCAUAGAGGGUGAGAAUCCCGUCUUUGACACGGACUACCAGUGCUUUGUGAUGCGCUCUCAAAGAGUCGAGUUGUUUGGGAAUGCAGCUCAAAAUGGGUGGUAAAUUCCAUCUAAAGCUAAAUAUU
rnacentral:sRNA from 1 species